UACGGACCGGUACGACCCGAGAGAUCACAACUCGCCCAUUUGAGAUGUUUUGAGAUUGUGCAAAGUCCGGGACAAGAUGUGCAAGCUUAGGGCGUGAUCAGAACAUGUCAAGGAGGCUUUGUGCAAUCUUAGGGUGUUGGGAGAAGGCCCUGGUCGUUUGGAAUCAAGAAGGCAUCAAGAAGAUGCUUUGUGGAGGCAAACAACCAAUGGGAGCUUCCUUGUGUGUGAUUGGCUAGUUCUGGUCUUGGACAGGCUGUCUCUUGCUGUAAAGAGAAGGGAGCCACGACCAUGAACCUGGACAGAUGCAUGGGAAGAUUAGGAGGAGCCUAAGGAGAGCCAAUCACAAGCAAGGAGCCAGCUUGCCUUGGUUUGAAUUAAAGUGAUCAGCCAACCUUAUCCUCACAACUCUUCAGAUAUUACAAAAAGACCAUCUCAUCUACACCAUCCAUUCUCUCAAGUUAAUAUUAUCCAUUAGAUUUAGGUUUCAGAUUGUGUAAACCUAUGGAGCUUAUAAAUAAGCAUGUAAUGGCGUUUUGUAAUCUCUUAAGAGAGUAUGGGGGGUUUCCCCAUCUCCUUCAUAAUUAUAAAAGUGUGUUCUUGAUCAGAUUCCCUUAAACUACCCCUUUCUUAGUCUCUAAUCUCUUAAUCUCUCAAAGUCUCUUUGUUUCUGAUUCAAGUUCAUACUAGUUUCAUCAGACCUCUUAUUCAACUAGUUCAAGACCUUAUCUUUGCCUUUAAUGGCUUUUCAUACACAUACACAGCCAGAGCUCUCAAAUCUCACAUGGUAUCAGAGCCAGGUUCAUCAGAACCUGAGCUGAGCUUCCGCAAAUCCACAGCUCUUAUCUCAGCUCAAACCAAACCCUUGAAGACAUUACCAGCCGAGUUCAGCUCUUGAAGAAGAAGAGACUUGAAGCCAUGGAGUGUUAUCCUGUCCCUCAAGCCGUUGCUGUCUGUACCUGAUGGAGAGAGUCUCAUUGGAAGCAGAGGAGGAUGGAGAGGCGUCAUGAACCUCAAGCCAAAGCUCCUUGUCCAAGAGCUUAUCACAUCCGGAUACAAGAAAGAUGAAGCUAAGAUGAAGCCGGUUUGAUGUAUGAAGAAAGGAGGGGCCUUUUGGGUGUGAGAAACAGGAAGGAGGCCGUGGACUGAAGGAGAAGGAGGUGGGUGACGAUCCAGACUCCUAAAUCCAACCAAAUCAUGGCCAGAUUGCCUUUGGAGGCUUAAGGAACCAACCUGGUUCCUUGUGUAAGCGAUUCUUUAAAACCUUCUUGAUAUUGAGCUUGUGUUGUGACUGUGCCUGGUUAUUGUGAUGUGUAUUGAUUGAUAAACCUGAGGAUAAUGUGUGAUUGCUAAAUAAAAUUAGUUGAAUCUGUCCCAGGAUGCUUUAAAGGCUUGUUUAGUGUUUAAAGAGUAAAAUGCUUGCUCCUGUUAAGUAAUGAGUUUGCUAAAUGAAAUGGUAUUGUUUGAAGCUCAUGAACUGAAAACAGAUUGAAAGUAAUGCAUUGUCUGAUGAUAAGUGAUGAUAGUAAUGCUUAGCCUAAGUUAUAAAUGAAAGUGUGAUGGAUUGUAUUGUUGCAUUCAUGAAUUGAAACUGAUUAAAGGUUAGUGCAUACUGUCAAAAGGCUGUCUUACAUUGAAGCAUUAGAUUCAUGUCUAAAUGCUGAGUAAAGAAGCUUUAAAAAUUGCCUAAGUAGCUUGUAUUGAAUCUGUUAUGAUCUUACUUGUGCUUAGAGAGUUUGCUUGCAAAGAUUAGAACUUGAAAAUGUCUAGUUUAAUCUGUUGCAUUGCUUAAAGACAUUGGUGUUCAAACUUGAUGAUGCAUCAAGGGUUGACCCAAUGCACUUGUGUCUUAUCUUUGCUGGAGUUUGAGUGAUGUUUCAGGUUCACAAGAGGUGUUCUUGGUUCACCAUCCAUCCGAGUUGAAAGAGGAAGACUUUGCCCAUUGUGUGGAGCAAUGGAGAGUUGAGAAAGAAGUGGUGAUGCGCCACUGGUGUGAAGUCUCACUGAAGCUCACUUGCAAGCUUGGACCUAUACUCAAUCCAAGCUUGAGGAGGGGAGUUUAGUGAGCUUCCAUGCGAUCCAAGAAGUCCAUUGCAAGCAUCUGAAGAAGGAGCCAUCCGGGCUUAGGCUGUGGCGAGUCUAUUCAAGAGAGUACUCAAACUAAGACAGAGUACUCUUGGCUGUGAGAAGAUGAAGGCUACUCUAUCAAGGCGGCUUCAAGAGUGAGGUGAUUGGAGAGAUAGCUGAAGCUUCCACAAGCAUUCCAUCAAGAUGGCAAGAUCAGAGGAGAGGCUGCAAUGGUGUGUGUGUGAGGAUCAUGAAGCAAUCCAUUCAAGCUUGUUCCUGUGAGAGUCUCAAGCUUGAGGGGGAGUGUUGAAGCUUACAUGAUCCAAGAGAGCUUGGUGGUUAUUCCAGAAGAGGAAGCAACCUGUUGAGAAGUAUGAUGAAGGAUGAAGAAGCAAUGUCCAAGGCGGCUUCAAGUGUUGAGGUGAUUGGAGAGUGGCUGAAGCAUCCUCAUGUAGCUCAAGCAACAAGGUGGUGACUCUAUAAGAAGAAGAAGCAGCCAAGACUCAGUAAGAGAAGUUGUAUCUCCAAGAAGAGGCUGAUCUGGUGUGUCCGAGCACUUCAACCUAACAAAGCAUGUGUAGUCAAUGGACAGGCUGGAACUCCUUUUGAAAUGCUUGGCUGUGCUUUCUCACAUGCUUGCACUAGUGUAAAAGCAUCCUCUCCUUUCCAGCAUCAUACAGGCUGUCAAAGUGCUCCCUUAUCCUUCCUUAUCCUCCCUUAUCCUCUUUGGUCGAGUUUCCUCUCUUCUCUUCACUAAGUUACCUUCUCAUCCCAUCAGAUAACUUCCCCAAGUAGUUACUGUGGUUAAAAUAAAGUUACCACAGUAAAACUCUAAAGUUACUGUCUCACCAACUUAACACUCCCCCUCAAGCUUGACCAUAUGGAACAAGUCAAGCUUGGAUUGCCAUGAGAUCUUCCUGUUAACUUGAAGAAAGGAAUGGAGGAGCUAGAGGUGUUGAGUUGAGAUGGAUCUUGUACAAAGAUAGGGCAAGAGCUUUAGAGAUUGCCUAUCAAGAGUGAUGAGGAGUCUAAAGGUGUCCAGAAGUGAUCUGAUGGAUGUUCUAAGCAAGGUCAAAGUCUAGGAGAGAUUUAGAAGAGUGUUGAGGAGCAAAUGGGCGAGUGUGCAAAGAUAGGGCGAGGCUGUAUGGCCAUGUACGGAUCUGUACGGACCGGUACGACCCGAGAGAUCACAACUCGCCCAUUUGAGAUGUUUUGAGAUUGUGCAAAGUCCGGGACAAGAUGUGCAAGCUUAGGGCGUGAUCAGAACAUGUCAAGGAGGCUUUGUGCAAUCUUAGGGUGUUGGGAGAAGGCCCUGGUCGUUUGGAAUCAAGAAGGCAUCAAGAAGAUGCUUUGUGGAGGCAAACAACCAAUGGGAGCUUCCUUGUGUGUGAUUGGCUAGUUCUGGUCUUGGACAGGCUGUCUCUUGCUGUAAAGAGAAGGGAGCCACGACCAUGAACCUGGACAGAUGCAUGGGAAGAUUAGGAGGAGCCUAAGGAGAGCCAAUCACAAGCAAGGAGCCAGCUUGCCUUGGUUUGAAUUAAAGUGAGCCAGCUUAGCUUAUCCAAUCAGCACACAUCACUCAGAUUACAACAAGACCAACUCAUCCUCACCAUCCAUUCCUCUUAAGUUAUUUCUAUCCAUUAGAUUUAGGUUUCUAAUGUUGCAAACAUGUAAAGCCUAUAUAAGGCAUGUGUAUGGACGAAAUUGAAAGCUCUCUUAAGAGAGUAUGGGGGUUUUCCCCAUCUCCUUCAUAAAUAUAAAAGUGUGUUCUUGAUCAGAUUCCCUUAAUCUACCCCUUUCUUAGUCUCUAAUCUCUUAAUCUCUCUAAGUCUCUUUGUUUCUGAUUCAAGUUCAUACUAGUUUCAUCAGACCUCUUAUUCAACUAGUUCAAGACCUUAUUCUUUGCCUCUAAUGGCUUCUCAUACACAUACACAGCCAGAGCUCUCAAAUCUCAUAUGGUAUCAGAGCCAGGUUCAUCAGAACCUGAACUGAGCUUCCGCAAAUCCACAGCUCUCAUCUCAGCUCAAAUCAAACCCUAGAAGACAUUACCAGCCAAGUUCAGUUCUUGAAGAAGAAAGAAGCUUGAAGCAUGGAGUGUUCUCCUUAUCUCUCAACCGUGCCUGUCUUUACCUGAUGGAGAGUGUCUCUUUGGAAGCAGAGGAGGAUGGAGAGGCGUCAUGAACCUCAAGCCAAAGCUCCUUGUCCAAGAGCUUAUCACAUCCGGAUACAAGAAAGAUGAAGCUAAGAAAAGCCGGUUUGAAGUAUGAAGAAAGGAGGGGUCUUUGGGUGUGAGAAACAAGAAGGAGGCCAUGGACUGAAGGAGAAGGAGUUGGGUGACGACCUAGACUCUUGAAUCCAACCAUAUCAUGGCCAGAUUGCCUUUGGAGGCUUAAGGAACCAACCUGGUUCCUUGUGUAAGCGAUUCUUUAAAACCUUCUUGAUAUUGAGCUUGUGGUGUGACUGUGCCUGGUUAUUGUGAUGUGUAUUGAUUGAAAAACCUGAGGAUAAUGUGUGAUUGCUAAAUAUAAUUAGUUGAAUCUGUCCCAGGAUGCUUUAAAGGCUUGUUUAGUGUUUAAAGAGUAAAAUGCUUGCUCCUGUUAAGUAAUGAGUUUGCUAAAUGUGAAAUGAUAUAGUUUGAAGCUCAUGAACUGAAAACAGAUUGAAAGUAAUGCAUUGUCUGAUGUUAAGUGAUGAUAGUAAUGCUUAGCCUAAGUUAUAAAUGAAUGUGUGAUGAAUUGUAUUGUUGCAUUCAUGAAUUAAAACUGAUUAAGGUUAGUGCAUACUGUCAAAUGGCUGUCUUACAUUGAAGCAUUAGAUUCAUGUCUAAAUGCUGAAUAAAGAAGCUUUAAAAUUGCCUAAGUAGCUUGUAUUGAAUCUGUUAGGAUCAUGCUAGUGCUUAGAGAGUUUGCUUGCAAAGAUUAGAACUUGAAAAUGUCUAGUUUAAUCUGUUGCAUUGCUUAAAGACAUUGGUGUUCAAACUUGAUGAUGCAUCAAGGGUUGACCCAAUGCAUUUGUGUCUUAUCUUUGCUGGAGUUUGAGUGAUGUUUCAGGUUCACAAGAGGUGUUCUUGGUUCACCAUCCAUCCGAGUUGAAAGAGGAAGACUUUGCCCAUUGUGUGGAGCAAUGGAGAGUUGAGAGAGAAGUGGUGAUGCGCCACUGGUGUGAAGUGUCACUGAAGCUCACUUGCAAGCUUGGACCUAUACUCAAUCCAAGCUUGAGGAGGGGAGUUUAGUGAGCUUCCAAGCGAUCCAAGAAGUCCAUUGCAACCAUCUGAAGAAGGAGCCAUCCGGGCUUAGGCUGUGGCGAGUCUAUUCAAGAGAGUACUCAAACUAAGACAGAGUACUCUUGGCUGUGAGAAGAUGAAGGCAACUCUAUCAAGGCGGCUUCUAGUGUGAAGUGAUUGGAGAGAUAGCUGAAGCUUCCACAAGCAUUCCACGAAGAUGGCAAGAUCAGAAGAGAAGCGGCAAUGGUGUGUGUGUGAGGAUCAUGAAGCAAUCCAUUCAAGCUUGUUCCUGUGAGAGUCUCAAGCUUGAGGGGGAGUGUUGAAGCUUACAUGAUCCAAGAGAGCUUGGUGGUUAUUCUAGAAGAGGAAGCAACCUGUUGAGAAGUAUGAUGAAGGAUGAAGAAGCAAUGUCCAAGGCGGCUUCAAGUGUUGAGGUGAUUGGAGAGUGGCUGAAGCAUCCUCAUGUAGCUCAAACAACAAGGUGGCGACUCUAUAAGAAGAAGAAGCAGCCAAGACUCAGUAAGAGAAGUUGUAUCUCCAUGAAGAGGCUGAUCUGGUGUGUCCGAGCACUUCAACCUAACAAGAGGUUAGGUGAAAGGGGGAGAGACCAAGAUUAGGCAGUAAGGAGAGUACAAGGCGUGGGAUGAUUGUAGAGGCCAUGAUCCAGAGUCUUUGUGUCCCUUACAUUGUUGGUAAGGCACAAAGACUCACUGGCCAAUCCCUAGGCCUUGGAGACUUUACUCUUUUUCCCUCAUCAAGGUUUUGUCCCAAAGGGUUUUCCUUGGUGAGGUUUUUAAUGAGGAAGUUCUUCAAGGUUCCAAGCUUGACUUAGGAUCAGCUAGAGUCAAGCUUGAGGGGGAGUGUUAACUUGAAGAGAAGAAGUGGAGAAGCAAAAGUGAUGAGUUGAGUUGGUGAUUGUGCAAAGACAUGGCAAGAUCUUCAGAGAUUGUAUGUUAAGGCUUUGGGAGAGUCUUAAGGCUUCAGAAGUGGUCUGAUGAGUGUGCAAAGAUAGGGUUAAGUCCAGGAGGGACUUAGACACCAUUUAGAGAAGAUUUGGGUCAGACAGUAACUCCAAAGUUACCACAGUAACUUUGGAGAGUUACCACAGUAAGAUUGGAGAAGUUUGGGCAAGUUGGUGUAAAAGUGAAUAGUGAAUCACUAGUCACUAUUCAGGUUGACUAUUCACUAUUUGGAUCACUAUUCAGGAUGUGAGGCACCAAGGUUUGAAUCUAGUCAAAGGGAAUCAAGAAGAUGCUGUGUGGAGCUGAUUGGUUACUUUGGGGCAUGGACAGGCUGGCUGUUGCUGUAAAGGAAGAGCAGCCACGACCAUGCACCUAGACUGAUCUGUAGACAGAUACAAAGGAGCCUAAGAAAUGCACCUAGACUGAUCUGUGGACAGAUACAAAGGAGCCUAAGAAGAACCAAUCAAAGCUCAGCCUUGGUUUGAAUUAAAGUGAGCCAGCUUAGCUCAUCCAAUCAGCACACAUCACUCAGAUCACAACAAGACCAACUCAUCCUCACCAUCCAUUCCCCUUAAGUUAUUUCUAUCCAUUAGAUAUAGGUUUAUGAGUUGCAAUGAUGUAAAGCCUAUAUAAGGAUGUGUCUUGGACGUUUUGUAACUCUUAAGAGAGUAUGGGGGUUUUCCCCAUCUCCUUCAUAAAUAUAAAAGUGUGUUCUUGAUCAGAUUCCCUUAAUCUACCCCUUUCUUAGUCUCUAAUCUCUUAAUCUUUCUAAGUCUCUUUGUUUCUGAUUCAAGUUCAUACUAGUUUCAUCAGACCUCUUAUUCAACUAGUUCAAGACCUUAUUCUUUGCCUUUAAUGGCUUCUCAUACACAUACACAGCCAGAGCUCUCAAAUCUCAUAUGGUAUCAGAGCCAGGUUUAUCAGAACCUGAGCUGAGCUUCCGCAAAUCCACAGCUCUCAUCUCAGCUCAAACUAAACCCUUGAAGACAUUACCAGCUGAGUUCAGCUCUUGAAGAAGAAGAGACUUGAAGCCAUGGAGUGUUAUCCUGUCCCUCAAGCCAUUGCUGUCUGUACCUGAUGGAGAGAGUCUCAUUGGAAGCAAAGUAGGAUGGAGAGACGUCAUGAACCUCAAGCCAAAACUCCUUGUCCAAGAGCUUGUCACAUCCGGAUACAAGAAAGAUGAAGCUAAGAGAAGCCGGUUUGAAGUAUGAAGAAAGGAGGGGUCUUUGGGUGUGAGAAACAAGAAGGAGGCCAUGGACUGAAGGAGAAGGAGUUGGGUGACGACCUAGACUCUUGAAUCCAGCCAUAUCAUGGCCAGAUUGCCUUUAGAGGCUUAAGGAACCAACCUGGUUCCUUGUGUAAGCGAUUCUUUAAAACCUUCUUGAUAUUGAGCUUGUGUUGUGUUGUUGCCUGGUUAUUGUGAUGUGUAAUGAUUGAAAACCCUGAGGAUAAUGUGUGAUUGCUAAAUAUAAUUAGUUGAAUCUGUCCCAGGAUGCUUUAAAGGCUUGUUUAGUGUUUAAAGAGUAAAAUGCUUGCUCCUGUUAAGUAAUGAGUUUGCUAAAGGUGAAAUGAUAUUGUUUGAAGCUCAUGAACUGAAAACAGAUUGAAAGUAAUGCAUUGUCUAAUGAUAAGUGAUGAUAGUAAUGCUUAGCCUAAGUUAUAAAUGAAUGUGUGAUGAAUUGUAUUGUUGCAUUCAUGAAUUAAAACUGAUUAAGGUUAGUACAUACUGUCAAAUGGCUGUCUUACAUUGAAGCAUUAGAUUCAUGUCUAAAUGCUGAGUAGAGAAGCUUUAAAAAUUGCCUAAGUAGCUUGUAUUGAAUCUGUUAGGAUCAUGCUAGUGCUUAGAGAGUUUGCUUGCAAAGAUUAGAACUUGAAAAUGUCUAGUUUAAUCUGUUGCAUUGCUUAAAGACAUUGGUGUUCAAACUUGAUGAUGCAUCAAGGGUUGACCCAAUGCACUUGUGUCUUAUCUUUGCUGGAGUUUGAGUGAUGUUUCAGGUUCACAAGAGGUGUUCUUGGUUCACCAUCCAUCCGAGUUGAAAGAGGAAGACUUUGCCCAUUGUGUGGAGCAAUGGAGAGUUGAGAAAGAAGUGGUGAUGCGCCACUGGUGUGAAGUCUCACUGAAGCUCACUUGCAAGCUUGGACCUAUACUCAAUCCAAGCUUGAGGAGGGGAGUUUAGUGAGCUUCCAAGCGAUCCAAGAAGUCCAUUGCAACCAUCUGAAGAAGGAGCCAUCCGGGCUUAGGCUGUGGCGAGUCUAUUCAAGAGAGUACUCAAACUAAGACAGAGUACUCUUGGCUGUGAGAAGAUGAAGGCAACUCUAUCAAGGCGGCUUCUAGUGUGAAGUGAUUGGAGAGAUAGCUGAAGCUUCCACAAGCAUUCCAUGAAGAUGGCAAGAUCAGAAGAGAAGCGGCAAUGGUGUGUGUGUGAGGAUCAUGAAGCAAUCCAUUCAAGCUUGUUCCUGUGAGAGUCUCAAGCUUGAGGGGGAGUGUUGAAGCUUACAUGAUCCAAGAGAGCUUGGUGGUUAUUCUAGAAGAGGAAGCAACCUGUUGAGAAGUAUGAUGAAGGAUGAAGAAGCAAUAUCCAAGGCGGCUUCAAGUGUUGAGGUGAUUGGAGAGUGGCUGAAGCAUCCUCAUGUAGCUCAAACAACAAGGUGGCGACUCUAUAAGAAGAAGAAGCAGCCAAGACUCAGUAAGAGAAGUUGUAUCUCCAAGAAGAGGCUGAUCUGGUGUGUCCGAGCACUUCAACCAAACAAGAGGUUAGGUGAAAGGGGGAGAGACCAAGAUUAGGCAGUAAGGAGAGUACAAGGCGUGGGAUGAUUGUAGAGGCCAUGACCCAGAGUCUUUGUGUCCCUUACAUUGUUGGUAAGGCACAAAGACUCACUGGCCAAUCCCUAGGCCUUGGAGACUUUACUCUUUUUCCCUCAUCAAGGUUUUGUCCCAAAGGGUUUUCCUUGGUGAGGUUUUUAAUGAGGAAGUUCUUCAAGGUUCCAAGCUUGACUUAGGAUCAGCUAGAGUCAAGCUUGAGGGGGAGUGUUAACUUGAAGAGAAGAAGUGGAGAAGCAAAAGUGAUGAGUUGAGUUGGUGAUUGUGCAAAGACAUGGCAAGAUCUUCAGAGAUUGUAUGUUAAGGCUUUGGGAGAGUCUUAAGGCUUCAGAAGUGGUCUGAUGAGUGUGCAAAGAUAGGGUUAAGUCCAGGAGGGACUUAGACACCAUUUAGAGAAGAUUUGGGUCAGACAGUAACUCCAAAGUUACCACAGUAACUUUGGAGAGUUACCACAGUAAGAUUGGAGAAGUUUGGGCAAGUUGGUGUAAAAGUGAAUAGUGAAUCACUAGUCACUAUUCAGGUUGACUAUUCACUAUUUGGAUCACUAUUCAGGAUGUGAGGCACCAAGGUUUGAAUCUAGUCAAAGGGAAUCAAGAAGAUGCUGUGUGGAGCUGAUUGGUUACUUUGGGGCAUGGACAGGCUGGCUGUUGCUGUAAAGGAAGAGCAGCCACACUCUUCAUAAUCUCACAUUCUGUUCCUUAAUCUUCUCUAAAUCAUUUCAUUCUCUUAAUCUAAUACAUGCACCUAGACUGAUCUGUAGACAGAUACAAAGGAGCCAAAGGAGAGCCAAUCACAGCACAGCCUUGUUUGAAUUAAAGUGAGCCAGCUUAGCUCAACCAAUCAGCACACAUCACUCAGAUCACAACAAGACCAACUCAUCCUCACCAUCCAUUCCCCUUAAGUUAUUUCUAUCCAUUAGAUAUAGGUUUAUGAGUUGCAAUGAUGUAAAGCCUAUAUAAGGAUGUGUCUUGGACGUUUUGUAACUCUUAAGAGAGUAUGGGGGAUUUCCCCAACUCCUUCAUAAAUAUAAAAGUGUGUUCUUGAUCAGAUUCCCUUAAUCUACCCCUUUCUUAGUCUCUAAUCUCUUAAUCUCUCUAAGUCUCUUUGUUUCUGAUUCAAGUUCAUACUAGUUUCAUCAGACCUCUUAUUCAACUAGUUCAAGACCUUAUUCUCUGCCUCUAAUGGCUUCUCAUACACAUACACAGCCAGAGCUCUCAAAUCUCAUACUUUCUAAUCAGGUGAUUCCAGUUUCCCAGUUUGAGAAUAGGACAGCUACUCCGUCGUUCCAAUCAAACCAGGAUGAAUCACUUUGUAAGAAGCUUGAUUUGGAUACAUAAAGUGUUGGAGAAUCACCAGGAGCCAUGAAGAAGACAGCUCCAUCCGGUUCAGCUACUCCAUGAAGACUGAAGCUUGGCGUGUCAUUCUGGUUCCUCAAACCUUUCUCAUACCUGUCUUGAUGAAGAGCCACCUUGGAAGCAAAGGAGGAUGGAGAGGCGUCAUGAACCUCAGGCCAAAACUCCUUGUCCAUGAGCUGCUUGCAUCCGGCUACAAGAAGAGUAGAUUGUCAUGAAGAUGGCGACUUGAAGUAUGAAGAAAGGAGGGGUGUUUGAGCUGUAGAAACAAGAAGGUGGCCAUGAGUAGAAGGAGGAGAGGCUGGGUGACGAUCCAUACUCUCAUGUCCAACAAAACCAUGAGCCAUAAGCCAUUGGAGGUUCAAGGAACCAAACCGGUUCCUUGGCUGUAAGCUAUUACUGUCCCUUCUUGAUAAUGAGCUUGUGUUGUGACUGUGCCUGGUUAUUGUGAUGUGUAUUGAUUGAAAAACCCUGAGGAUAAUGUGUGAUUGCUAAAUAUAAUUAGUUGAAUCUGUCCCAGGAUGCUUUAAAGGCUUGUUUAGUGUUUAAAGAGUAAAAUGCUUGCUCCUGUUAAGUAAUGAGUUUGCUAAAGGUGAAAUGAUAUUGUUUGAAGCUCAUGAACUGAAAACAGAUUGAAAGUAAUGCAUUGUCUGAUGAUAAGUGAUGAUAGUAAUGCUUAGCCUAAGUUAUAAAUGAAUGUGUGAUGAAUUGUAUUGUUGCAUUCAUGAAUUAAAACUGAUUAAGGUUAGUGCAUACUGUCAAAUGGCUGUCUUACAUUGAAGCAUUAGAUUCAUGUCUAAAUGCUGAGUAAAGAAGCUUUAAAAAUUGCCUAAGUAGCUUGUAUUGAAUCUGUUAGGAUCAUGCUAGUGCUUAGAGAGUUUGCUUGCAAAGAUUAGAACUUGAAAAUGUCUAGUUUAAUCUGUUGCAUUGCUUAAAGACAUUGGUGUUCAAACUUGAUGAUGCAUCAAGGGUUGACCCAAUGCACUUGUGUCUUAUCUUUGCUGGAGUUUGAGUGAUGUUUCAGGUUCACAAGAGGUGUUCUUGGUUCACCAUCCAUCCGAGUUGAAAGAGGAAGACUUUGCCCAUUGUGUGGAGCAAUGGAGAGUUGAGAGAGAAGUGGUGAUGCGCCACUGGUGUGAAGUGUCACUGAAGCUCACUUGCAAGCUUGGACCUAUACUCAAUCCAAGCUUGAGGAGGGGAGUUUAGUGAGCUUCCAAGCGAUCCAAGAAGUCCAUUGCUAGCAUCUGAAGAAGGAGCCAUCCGGGCUUAGGCUGUGGCGAGUCUAUUCAAGAGAGUACUCAAACUAAGACAGAGUACUCUUGGCUGUGAGAAGAUGAAGACUACUCUAUCAAGGCGGCCUUUAGUGUGAGGUGAUUGGAGAGAUAGCUGAAGCUUCCACAAGCAUUCCAUGAAGAUGGCAAGAUCAGAAGAGAAGCGGCAAUGGUGUGUGUGUGAGGAUCAUGAAGCAAUCCAUUCAAGCUUGUUCCUGUGAGAGUCUCAAGCUUGAGGGGGAGUGUUGAAGCUUACAUGAUCCAAGAGAGCUUGGUGGUUAUUCUAGAAGAGGAAGCAACCUGUUGAGAAGUAUGAUGAAGGAUGAAGAAGCAAUGUCCAAGGCGGCUUCAAGUGUUGAGGUGAUUGGAGAGUGGCUGAAGCAUCCUCAUGUAGCUCAAACAACAAGGUGGCGACUCUAUAAGAAGAAGAAGCAGCCAAGACUCAGUAAGAGAAGUUGUAUCUCCAAGAAGAGGCUGAUCUGGUGUGUCCGAGCACUUUAACCUAACAAGAGGUUAUGUGAAAGGGGGAGAGACCAAGAUCAGGCUGUAAGGAGAGUACAAGGCGUGGGGAGAAUGAAGAGGCCAUAAUCCAGAGUCUUUAUGUCCCUUACAUUGUUGGUAAGGCACAAAGACUCACUGGCCAAUCCCUAGGCCUUGGAGACUUUACUCUUUUUCCCUCAUCAAGGUUUUGUCCCAAAGGGUUUUCCUUGGUGAGGUUUUUAAUGAGGAAGUUCUUCAAGGUUCCAAGCUUGACAUAGGAUCAACUAAAGUCAAGCUUGAGGGGGAGUGUUAACUUGAAGAGAAGAAGUGGUUAGGAUCAGCUAGAGUCAAGCUUGAGGGGGAGUGUUAACUUGAAGAGAAGAAGUGGAGAAGCAAAAGUGAUGGUUUCCCAGUUUGGGAAUUGCACAGCUUCUUCGUGUUAACUUGAAGAGAAGACAUGGAGAAACUAAAAGUGUAUAGGAUCAACUAAAGUCAAGCUUGAGGGGGAGUGUUAACUUGAAGAGAAGACAUGGAGAAACUAAAAGUGUUGAGUUGAGUUGGGGCUUGUGCAAAAGAUAGGGCAAGGUGUCCAGAAGUGUCCUGAUGGAUGUGCAAAGUUAGGGUCAAGUCUAGGAGAGACUUAGAAGUGUAUUUGGGAGCAAAUGGGCGAGUGUGCAAAGAUAGGGCGAGGCAGUACGGACAUGUACGGACAGUACGGAUCCGUACGGACCAGGGCGACCCAGAUUUGCAUAACUCGGCCAUUUGAGAAGUUUUGGAGUUGGUGCAAAAAUAGGGCGAACCUGACGUCCCGGGAAGGCUUGUGCAAUGUCUGGGCAAGGUUUAGGAGUUAUAAAAGUGGUCCCAGUCUUGUGGAUAAGGUUCUGAUCAGAUGGCAUCAAAGGAGAAUCAAGAAGAUGCCAUUGGAGUGUGAUUGGCUAGUUUGGUCUUGGGACAGGCUGGCCUUGGCUGUAAAGACAAGGGGAGCCACGACCAUGUACCUGGACUGAUCUCUGGAUAGAUUAGGAGGAGCCUAAAGAGAGCCAAUCACAGUUCAGCCUUCCCCAUUUUGAAUUAAACCAAUCAGACUCCAUCUCCUCUUAACCAAUCAGCAUCAACUACUCAGAUUGCAACAAGACCAGCUCAUCUACACCAUCCAUUCCUCUUAAGUGAUUUACAGCCAUUAGAUAUAUGAGAUUUGAGAGCUCUGGCUGUGUAUGUGUAUGAGAAGCCAUUAAAGGCAAAGAAUAAGGUCUUGAACUAGUUGAAUAAGAGGUCUGAUGAAACUAGUAUGAACUUGAAUCAGAAACAAAGAGACUUAGAAAGAUUAAGAGAUUAGAGACUAAGAAAGGGGUAGAUUAAGAGAAUCUGAUCAAGAACACACUUUUAUAUUUAUGAAGGAGAUGGGGAAAACCCCCAUACUCACUUAAGAGAGUUACACACGCCCAUGAGGCUCUUUAUAUAGGUUUUACACUCUUGCAAACUCAUAAACCUAUAUCUAAUGGAUAGAAAUAACUUAAGAGGAAUGGAUGGUGAGGAUGAGUUGGUCUUGUUGUAAUCUGAGUGAUGUGUGCUGAUUGGAUAAGCUAAGCUGGCUCACUUUAAUUCAAACCAAGGCAAGCUGGCUCCUUGCUUGUGAUUGGCUCUCCUUAGGCUCCUACUAAUCUUUCCAUGCAUCUGUCCAGGUUCAUGGUCGUGGCUCCCUUCUCUUUACAGCAAGAGACAGCCUGUCCAAGACCAGAACUAGCCAAUCACACACAAGGAAGCUCCCAUUGGUUGUUUGCCUCCACAAAGCAUCUUCUUGAUUCCCUUUGACUAGAUUCAAACCUUGGUGCCUUAUCCAUAUACUAUGCACACUCUUCACAUCCUGAAUAGUGACCCAAAUAGUGAAUAGUCAACCUGAAUAGUGACUAGUGAUUCACUAUUCACUUUUACACCAACUUGCCCAAACUUCUCCAAUCUUACUGUGGUAACUUUCCAAAGUUACUGUGGUAACUUUGUAUGAUUUUUAAAGAGAUCUCUACUCUGGUAGUAUGUGUGUGUGUAUAAGCUUCAAUGAAGAAUGCUUAGAGCUUGUUCUAGGUGAUAUAGAGAAAAGGAUUGGUGAGAGUGUUUAUGAGUAUGUGAGAGACUUAAGAACAGAGAUUAAGAGACUUAAGAGACUAGAGAGAGACUGAGAGAAUCAGAGACUGAAGAUUAGUGUUUCAGAUUAGAGAAGGAGAAGGGAAACCCCCUUACUCACUUGAGCUUUACAAAACGCCACUUAUGAGUUUAUAUAUGCCUUUACAAGAGCAAAUCAUAAACCUACUCCCCCUCAAGCUUGACUCUAGCUGAUCCUAAGUCAAGCUUGGAACCUUGAAGAACUUCCUCAUUAAAAACCUCACCAAGGAAAACCCUUUGGGACAAAGCCUUGAUGAGGGAAAAAGAGUAAAGUCUCCAAGGCCUAGGGAUUGGCCAGUGAGUCUUUGUGCCUUACCAACAAUGUAAGGGACACAAAGACUCUAGAUCAUGGCCUCUACAAUCAUCCCACGCCUUGUACUCUCCUUACUGCCUAAUCUUGGUCUCUCCCCCUUUCACCUAACCUCUUGUUAGGUUGAAGUGCUCGGACACACCAGAUCAGCCUCUUCUUGGAGAUACAACUUCUCUUACUGAGUCUUGGCUGCUUCUUCUUCUUAUAGAGUCGCCACCUUGUUGCUUGAGCUACAUGAGGAUGCUUCAGCCACUCUCCAAUCACCUCAACACUUGAAGCCGCCUUGGACAUUGCUUCUUCAUCCUUCAUCAUACUUCUCAACAGGUUGCUUCCUCUUCUAGAAUAACCACCAAGCUCUCUUGGAUCAUGUAAGCUUCAACACUCCCCCUCAAGCUUGAGACUCUCACAGGAACAAGCUUGAAUGGAUUGCUUCAUGAUCCUCACACACACACACCAUUGCCGCUUCUCUUCUGAUCUUGCCAUCUUCAUGGAAUGCUUGUGGAAGCUUCAGCUAUCUCUCCAAUCACUUCACACUAGAAGACGCCUUGAUAGAGUUGCCUUCAUCUUCUUACAGCCAAGAGUACUCUGUCUUAGUUUGAGUACUCUCUUGAAUAGACUCGCCACAGCCUAAGCCCGGAUGGCUCCUUCUUCAGAUGCUUGCAAUGGACUUCUUGGAUCGCAUGGAAGCUCACUAAACUCCCCUCCUCAAGCUUGGAUUGAGUAUAGGUCCAAGCUUGCAAGUGAGCUUCAGUGAGACUUCACACCAGUGGCGCAUCACCACUUCUUUCUCAACUCUCCAUUGCUCCACACAAUGGGCAAAGUCUUCCUCUUUCAACUCGGAUGGAUGGUGAACCAAGAACACCUCUUGUGAACCUGAAACAUCACUCAAACUCCAGCAAAGAUAAGACACAAGUGCAUUGGGUCAACCCUUGAUGCAUCAUCAAGUUUGAACACCAAUGUCUUUAAGCAAUGCAACAGAUUAAACUAGACAUUUUCAAGUUCUAAUCUUUGCAAGCAAACUCUCUAAGCACUAGCAUGAUCCUAACAGAUUCAAUACAAGCUACUUAGGCAAUUUUUAAAGCUUCUUUACUCAGCAUUUAGACAUGAAUCUAAUGCUUCAAUGUAAGACAGCCAUUUGACAGUAUGCACUAACCUUAAUCAGUUUUAAUUCAUGAAUGCAACAAUACAAUUCAUCACACAUUCAUUUAUAACUUAGGCUAAGCAUUACUAUCAUCACUUAACAUCAGACAAUGCAUUACUUUCAAUCUGUUUUCAGUUCAUGAGUUUCAAACAAUACCAUUUCACAUUUAGCAAACUCAUUACUUAACAGGAGCAAGCAUUUUACUCUUUAAACACUAAACAAGCCUUUAAAGCAUCCUGGGACAGAUUCAACUAAUUAUAUUUAGCAAUCACACAUUAUCCUCAGGUUUUUCAAUCAAUACACAUCACAAUAACCAGGCACAGUCACACCACAAGCUCAAUAUCAAGAAGGUUUUAAAGAAUCACUUACACAAGGAACCAGGUUGGUUCCUUAAGCCUCCAAAGGCAAUCUGGCCAUGAUAUGGUUGGAUUCAAGAGUCUAGGUCGUCACCCAACUCCUUCUCCUUCAGUCCAUGGCCUCCUUCUUGUUUCUCACACCCAAAGACCCCUCCUUGCUCCAUACUAUCAAGCCUGCUUCUCUUCACUUCAUCUUUCUUGUAGCAGGAUGUAACAAGCUCUUGGACAAGGAGUUUUGGCUUGAGGUUCAUGACGCCUCUCCAUCCUCCUUUGCUUCCAAUGAGACUCUCUCCAUCAGGUACAGACAGCAACGGCUUGAGGGACAGGAUAACACUCCAUGGCUUCAAGUCUCUUCUUCUUCAAGAGCUGAACUCGGAUGGAUAUGACUUCAAGGGUUUGGUUUGAGCUGAGAUGAGAGCUGUGGAUUUGCGGAAGCUCAGCUCAGGUUCUGAUGAACCUGGCUCUGAUACCAUAUGAGAUUUGAGAGCUCUGGCUGUGUAUGUGUAUGAGAAGCCAUUAGACCAUUCCUCUUAAGUGAUUUACAGCCAUUAGAUAUAUGAGAUUUGAGAGCUCUGGCUGUGUAUGUGUAUGAGAAGCCAUUAGAGGCAAAGAAUAAGGUCUUGAACUAGUUGAAUAAGAGGUCUGAUGAAACUAGUAUGAACUUGAAUCAGAAACAAAGAGACUUAGAGAGAUUAAGAGAUUAGAGACUAAGAAAGGGGUAGAUUAAGAGAAUCUGAUCAAGAACACACUUUUAUAUUUAUGAAGGAGAUGGGGAAAACCCCCAUACUCACUUAAGAGAGUUACACACGCCCAUGAGGCUCUUUAUAUAGGUUUUACACUCUUGCAAACUCAUAAACCUAUAUCUAAUGGAUAGAAAUAACUUAAGAGGAAUGGAUGGUGAGGAUGAGUUGGUCUUGUUGUAAUCUGAGUGAUGUGUGCUGAUUGGAUAAGCUAAGCUGGCUCACUUUAAUUCAAACCAAGGCAAGCUGGCUCCUUGCUUGUGAUUGGCUCUCCUUAGGCUCCUACUAAUCUUUCCAUGCAUCUGUCCAGGUUCAUGGUCGUGGCUCCCUUCUCUUUACAGCAAGAGACAGCCUGUCCAAGACCAGAACUAGCCAAUCACACACAAGGAAGCUCCCAUUGGUUGUUUGCCUCCACAAAGCAUCUUCUUGAUUCCCUUUGACUAGAUUCAAACCUUGGUGCCUUAUCCAUAUACUAUGCACACUCUUCACAUCCUGAAUAGUGACCCAAAUAGUGAAUAGUCAACCUGAAUAGUGACUAGUGAUUCACUAUUCACUUUUACACCAACUUGCCCAAACUUCUCCAAUCUUACUGUGGUAACUUUCCAAAGUUACUGUGGUAACUUUGGAGUUACUGUCUGACCCAAAUCUUCUCCAAAUGGUGUCUAAGUCCCUCCUGGACUUAACCCUAUCUUUGCACACUCAUCAGACCACUUCUGAAGCCUUAAGACUCUCCCAAAGCCUUAACAUACAAUCUCUGAAGAUCUUGCCAUGUCUUUGCACAAGCACCAACUCAACUCAUCACUUUUGCUUCUCCAC
rnacentral:lncRNA from 1 species